AUUAAGCCAUGCAAGUCUAAGUACACACGGCCGGUACAGUGAAACUGCGAAUGGCUCAUUAAAUCAGUUAUGGUUCCUUUGAUCGCUCCAACGUUACUUGGAUAACUGUGGCAAUUCUAGAGCUAAUACAUGCCAACGAGCGCUGACCUCCGGGGAUGCGUGCAUUUAUCAGACCCAAAACCCAUGCGGGGUGCCUUCGGAAGCCCCGGCCGCUUUGGUGACUCUAGAUAACCUCGAGCCGAUCGCGCGCCCUUUGUGGCGGUGACGUCUCAUUCGAAUGUCUGCCCUAUCAACUUUCGAUGGUACUUUCUGUGCCUACCAUGGUGACCACGGGUAACGGGGAAUCAGGGUUCGAUUCCGGAGAGGGAGCCUGAGAAACGGCUACCACAUCCAAGGAAGGCAGCAGGCGCGCAAAUUACCCACUCCCGACUCGGGGAGGUA
rnacentral:rRNA from 1 species